AACGUAGGUGGCGAGCGUUAUCCGGAUUUACUGGGCGUAAAGCGUGUGCAGGUGGAUGACUAAGUGGUGUAUGAAAUCGCCCGGCUCAACCGGGCGGGGUUAUGCCAGACUGGUCGUCUAGAGGGUGGGAGAGGGAGGUGGAAUUCCGGGUGUAGUGGUGAAAUGCGUUGAUAUCGUUUGGAACACCAAUAGCGUAGGCAGGCUUCUGGGUGCCACCUGACACUGCUAGGACGAGAGCGUGGGGAGCGAUAAGG
rnacentral:rRNA from 1 species